rnacentral:miRNA from 1 species
AAAUGUUGCAUCUAGUGCACU